rnacentral:rRNA from 1 species
UGGGGAAUUUUGCACAAUGGGGGAAACCCUGAUGCAGCGACGCCGCGUGAUUUAGAAGGCCUUCGGGUUGUAAGAAUCUUUUCUAUGGGAAGAAAAUGACAGUACCAUAGGAAUAAGGACCGGCUAAUUACGUGCCAGCAGCCGCGGUAAUACGUAAGGUCCGAGCGUUGUCCGGAAUCAUUGGGCGUAAAGGGUACGUAGGCGGGUAAGCAAGUUAGAAGUGAAAUCCUGUAGCUCAACUACAGUAAGCUUUUAAAACUGCUCAUCUUGAGAUAUGGAAGGGAAAGUGGAAUUCCUAGUGUAGCGGUGAAAUGCGCAGAUAUUAGGAGGAAUACCGGUGGCGAAGGCGACUUUCUGGCCAUAAUCUGACGCUGAGGUACGAAAGCGUGGGUAGCAAACAGG